rnacentral:rRNA from 1 species
CCCGACUGCUAUCGGAUUGGGACUAAGCCAUGCGAGUCAACUCCGCAAGGGGUGGCGCACGGCUCAGUAACACGUAGUCAACCUACCCUGGGGACGGGGAUAACCUCGGGAAACUGAGGCUAAACCCCGAUGGGCCAUGGCUCCUGGAAUGGGCUAUGGCUGAAAUCUACAUGGCCCCAGGAUGGGACUGCGGCCGAUCAGGUUGUUGGUGGGGUAAUGGCCCACCAAGCCUAUAACCGGUGCGGGCUCUGAGAGGAGGAGCCCGGAGAUGGGCGCUGAGACAAGGGCCCAGGUCCUAUGGGGCGCAGCAGGCGCGAAACCUCCGCAAUGGGCGAAAGCCCGACGGGGUCAGUCCGAGUGGUCCCCGCUGAGGGAACCUUUUGCCAGCUGUAAACAGGCUGGCGAAUAAGGGGUGGGCAAGUUUGGUGUCAGCCGCCGCGGUAAUACCAGCACCCCGAGUGGUCGGGACGAUUAUUGGGCCUAAAGCAUCCGUAGCCGGCCCAGUAAGUCCUCCGUUAAAUCCAACGGCUCAACCGUUGGGCUGCGGGGGAUACUGCUGGGCUAGGGGACGGGAGAGGCGAGGGGUAUUCCCGGGGUAGGGGUAAAAUCCACUGAUCCCGGGAGGACCACCAGUGGCGAAGGCGCCUCGCUAGAACGUGCCCGACGGUGAGGGAUGAAAGCUGGGGGAGCGAACCGGAUUAGAUACCCGGGUAGUCCCAGCCGUAAACGAUGUAGGCUCGGUGUUGGGCUGCCUCAGUGGCAGCCCAGUGCCGCAGGGAAGCCGUUAAGCCUACCGCCUGGGGAGUACGGCCGCAAGGCUGAAACUUAAAGGAAUUGGCG